rnacentral:rRNA from 1 species
AGAGUUUGAUCCUGGCUCAGGAUGAACGCUAGCGGCAGGCCUAAUACAUGCAAGUCGAACGGUCGUAGCAAUACGAUAGUGGCGCACGGGUGCGUAACGCGUAACCAACCUGCCCUUGACUGGGGGAUAGCCCGCCGAAAGGCGGAUUAAUACCGCAUAAAACUAUAGACCGGCAUCGGUCAUUAGUUAAAGAUUUAUUGGUCAAGGAUGGGGUUGCGUGCCAUUAGCUAGUUGGGGGGGUAACGGCCCACCAAGGCGACGAUGGCUAGGGGAGCUGAGAGGCUGGUCCCCCACACGGGCACUGAGAUACGGGCCCGACUCCUACGGGAGGCAGCAGUAGGGAAUAUUGGGCAAUGGACGAGAGUCUGACCCAGCCAUGCCGCGUGCAGGAUGAAGGCUUUCUGAGUCGUAAACUGCUUUUGCCAGGGAAGAAAAAAGCGGAUGCGUCCGCUACUGACGGUACCUGGUGAAUAAGCACCGGCUAACUCCGUGCCAGCAGCCGCGGUAAUACGGAGGGUGCAAGCGUUGUCCGGAUUUAUUGGGUUUAAAGGGUGCGUAGGCGGCCGAUUAAGUCUGGGGUGAAAGCCCGUUGCUCAACAACGGAACUGCCCUGGAAACUGGUCGGCUUUGAGUACAGACGAGGGCGGCGGAAUGGAUGGUGUAGCGGUGAAAUGCAUAGAUACCAUCCAGAACCCCGAUUGCGAAGGCAGCUGCCUAGACUGUAACUGACGCUGAGGCACGAAAGCGUGGGGAGCGAACAGGAUUAGAUACCCUAGUAGUCC